rnacentral:rRNA from 1 species
GGGGCAGCGGGGUAGUGCUUGCACUACUGCCGGCGACCGGCGCACGGGUGAGUAACACGUAUGGAACCUGCCCGCAGCAGGGGGAUAAGCGGAAGAAAUUCCGUCUAAUACCGCGUAACAACGUUGGGAGGCAUCUCCCGAUGUUUAAAGAUUUAUCGGCUGCGGAUGGCCAUGCGGCGCAUUAGCUAGUCGGCGGGGUAACGGCCCACCGAGGCGACGAUGCGUAGGGGUUCUGAGAGGAAGGUCCCCCACACUGGUACUGAGACACGGACCAGACUCCUACGGGAGGCAGCAGUGAGGAAUAUUGGUCAAUGGCCGAGAGGCUGAACCAGCCAAGUCGCGUGAGGGAAGACGGCCCUACGGGUUGUAAACCUCUUUUGUCGGGGAGCAAAGCGAACCACGUGUGGUUCAUUGAGAGUACCCGAAGAAAAAGCAUCGGCUAACUCCGUGCCAGCAGCCGCGGUAAUACGGAGGAUGCGAGCGUUAUCCGGAUUUAUUGGGUUUAAAGGGUGCGCAGGCGGAGGUGCAAGUCAGCGGUCAAAUUGCGGGGCUCAACCCCGUACUGCCGUUGAAAC